rnacentral:rRNA from 1 species
CGGGUGAGUAACGCGUGGGCAACCUGCCCCGCACUGGGGACAACAGCCGGAAACGGCUGCUAAUACCGCAUAUGCGCACAGCUUUGCAUGAAGCAGUGUGGAAAACUCCGGUGGUGCGGGAUGGGCCCGCGUCUGAUUAGCUGGUUGGCGGGGCAACGGCCCACCAAGGCGACGAUCAGUAGCCGGCCUGAGAGGGUGGACGGCCACAUUGGGACUGAGACACGGCCCAGACUCCUACGGGAGGCAGCAG